ACCUGGAGAGUACCAGCUGCAUGCUGACCCUGAAGGUGAAUCGCUUUCACCCUGACCAUAAAGAAAAGCUAUGGAUCAGAAAGAGCAACCUAACCAUUCAAAUAAAGCAGUACAAGUACUCAAUUGCUGAAGAUGAUGAGUCUUCCAAGUCA